ensembl:lncRNA
GGGAGAGAUGUGAACGAGUUGAGUGGCCCUGUUCAAGAGGGUCUACCUCAUACACUUGAGUUUGUGCUCUCAAUCGCUGUAGACUCGGAUCAAUAGCACUGCGGAAGCGAGAGAGAAAGAACACCUACAGAAUCAGCAGAACGAGGUUAAACUCGCCCGGAGAGAGGCGAAAAACGUUAAGGAUUUAUUGAGAUGCAAGAAGAUCCUCAGUCUCAUUCAUUUUCAUUCAUCUCAAUGUCACCCUGAAAUAUGACUUCCGCUCCCACUGGAUCCCCCAACAUUAUUGGGCUAGAGUACUGCGAAUCUGGCGAUGCCUGUAUGCCAUUGGAUCAGAGUGCUGUCAAUUGCCGCCUGAUUGUUGCAUGCAAAGUUUGCAUUUGGAGCACUCAACAAUGCCAUUAGAUUAAUGGGCUCUGUAAGUGCUUUGGCAAGUGGAGUCUGGAGCUUCGCCAGCAUGCAGUGAACCAGAGAAGUGGAGAGACGUCCCAGCGGCCCACAGCUCUGACAACACCCUUCUAUCCCCCUCUGAAAUCUUUAUUUACUGCCCCCGCACUACUGCUCCCUCGCUGGGGCAAUUAAAGCAUCGUUGUGUCAGACGGUGAAAUAAAGUCAAACAGGACUGUGGAAUGACACAAGGAAAACCAUCCCGGCUAGUCCAAACAUGGGAGCGAUUCUCAGAUUUCAGACCCCCACCUUGUCUUUUGUGCCGAGUUCAGUGAGGCUCCUGGUUAGAAAUGUACACACGUCUAAUUUGAGUUAGAAGAUCUGUGAAUAACCCGAAAGGGAUCAAAUUAAAAUUCCAAGACGGGUGGAAAAAAAGCGAUAUGGGGUUUGAAAGUGGCCCCUGCUUCUUUAAGCUGGAUUUAAGUGAUCAAAGUUCCAUAUGAGGCAGCCAUUGGUGGUAUUGAGUUACUCUAAUGGCUGCCAUGUGCUACUGCCGACGGGCCCGAUCUGCGGACGUCUCAAGGGUGUCGGGCGCAAGACAGUUGUAAAAAGAGGCUUUACAAUAGAGAGAGCGGCAAAAAACCAGAUGCAUGGUGCACUUUCAGACCUCGCUCGCUGGAGAUACUCUGCAUUUUUUUCCGAAUUAGCUCCAGAUUUUUUGAAAGCAUCGAUCAAGGCGUCCGGCGGGUCUCUCAAGACCGUGCCACCCGACAGCGGCCCCCUCUCUAUUGCUUAUUUACUGAUGCGUGGCUUCCCCAUUCCCACUAAACUGCAGGAGACACAAGUGACAAUAAAAGUCAAACACUCGGUGGUUGCCGGAGUCCUGGCUGGUUAUUAGUAUGUAAAUGAAAUCAUCACAGCUGUUCUAUGCACGGAGAGGGGGAGAGAGGAGACAACGAACCCUGCAUUCUGAUGCUGUCUCCUGAACAACCAUCAGGCGCUGGCCACCUCUUCCAUACCCUGCAGUCAAGCACAUCCCGACCAACCCGACACAGCAACAUCAGAUCAACCAAUGGGAAAAGCACUUCCAAACUGAAUUUCUCACAGGUUGCUCAUUCAUAUCUCAAAAGACCUAUUGGAAAUCCUAGUUAUAUUUCAUGAAAGUCCAUCUGUGCCGAAUUGCUCACAAGUUGCUCAUUCACAGCUCAAAUAAGGUGCCAUUCGGUUUUGGCACUUCCUUCCCGCGCCCAAGUAUCCAGCCGCAUGAUGGAUGAAGCAAGCGAAUUGCAGUGUGCAGUAUUUUGCCGCAGUUGAUUGCAAACUGACUCCGGGUAACAUAAUUAUUUACACUGACACAAUAAUGUAAAAUGAUUAACAUCCGCUCAUAUUCAUACCCAUAUAAAUCACUGGCCCACGUCGAGUUCAUCAUUCGGGGAGGGCCAGCGUCUCGCCCUGAGAUUGGAUGGCGGCCAGAUAAGAAGAGUAUUAAUCGUGGAGAAUAUGCCGCAUGGUCGUUUAAAACUUCGAGAAAAGAGAGGCCCUGGCAGAGUGUUUGGCAGAGCGAUGGUUUCUGGCUCCAGCGGGCAGCGCUCAAGAUGGAUUACCACCCUCCAAACGUCCACGUCCGCACCUGACUUCUCAACAUAGAUGUCCUACCUGUGCAUGAAAUAGGGCUUGACCGGCCAACAUGCACUUUUUCUACCCCUUUCUCCCCCAAAAUGAGAAUUACUGCUGGGAGGCUCUGGACAAUUUUAUGUAGGGCUGGAGAACAAAAAUCAAUAUUUAAUUAUCUGUGAGCGUUUGGUGUCACUACAUCUUUAGAUCUGUAGGGUGGAGUGGACAGGGUCACCGGGCCGGUAAGUGAGUCCGUCAGUGACGAGGCCGUCUCGUCCCAAGGCUCCGAUUGGCCUGUCUUCAAUCACCACAAGAGUGAUGACUGAUAAGUCAUUUAUUCGUCGACCUGUGUGUUUGGAGAAGGCCACCUUAAGAAUGAGCCUGCGUGACAUGCGUACAGUACGCUUGAAGUUAAAUAUGGUUUUGACCUAUCAGAAAUAUGGCUUAAAUGCCCCACCUAGAGGUAGGAUGGGACACUUACUGCUUUGGUGGGUGGAAUCCAAAGCAUGCAUGUUGAGAGGAGUGUGAAUUCAUUUUAGUAACCAAAGAGCGGAGCAUAAUACUUGUCAGUAUUUUAUUAUUUCCCAAUUUUAAUCAGAAAUAGGAAACAUGCCUGUUCAGUUAAGGACCAUUUGAUUCACAGUGGGCUCCCAAAGUCUGAGAUCCAUUG